rnacentral:rRNA from 1 species
GAACGAUGAAAGAGAAUCCGAUCUCUUCGGAGUGAAGAAUCUCUGGAUUAGUGGCGGACGGGUGAGUAACGCGUGAGCAAUCUGCCUUACACAAAGGGAUAGCCUCGGGAAACCGGGAUUAAUACCAUAUGAUAUCUAGCGACCGCAUGGUAGAUAGAUUAAAGAAUUUCGGUGUAAGAUGAGCUCGCGUCCCAUUAAUUAGUUGGUGAGGGUAACGGCCCACCAAGAUAGCGAUGGGUAGCCGAUCUAAGAGGAUGACCGGCCACAUUGGAACUGAGAAACGGUCCAAACUCCUACGGGAGGCAGCAGUGGGGAAUAUUGCACAAUGGGGGAAACCCUGAUGCAGCGACGCCGCGUGAGCGAUGAAGGCUUUCGAGUCGUAAAGCUCUGUCCUAUGGGAAGAUAAUGACGGUACCAUAGAAGAAAGCCCCGGCUAAUUACGUGCCAGCAGCCGCGGUAAUACGUAAGGGGCGAGCGUUGUCCGGAAUUAUUGGGCGUAAAGAGUGCGUAGGCGGCAAAUUAAGUCAGAUGUGAAAACUAAGGGCUCAACCCAUAGAUUGCAUCUGAAACUGAUAUGCUUGAGUCAAGGAGAGGAAAGUGGAAUUCCUAGUGUAGCGGUGGAAUGCGUAGAUAUUAGGAGGAAUACCGGUGGCGAAGGCGACUUUCUGGACUUGUACUGACGCUGAGGCACGAAAGCGUGGGGAGCAAACAGGAUUAGAUACCCUGGUAGUCCACGCCGUAAACGAUGAGUGCUAGGUGUC